rnacentral:rRNA from 1 species
UACGAAGGGGGCAAGCGUUGUUCGGAAUUACUGGGCGUAAAGCGCAUGUAGGCGGCCACUCAAGCCAGAGGUGAAAUCCCGGAGCUCAACUUCGGAACUGCCUUUGGAACUGUGUGGCUGGAGUCUCGGAGGGGAUGGUGGAAUUCCAAGUGUAGAGGUGAAAUUCGUAGAUAUUUGGAGGAACACCGGUGGCGAAGGCGGCCAUCUGGACGAGUACUGACGCUGAGAUGCGAAAGCGUGGGGAGCAAACAGG